UGGAUCAAUGAUGAAAAUUGCCAGCGUGUGCGUGUUGGAUAAUGAAUUAUAUGUGUGUGGAAUUCUGACGUCCAA